GUGCACCAGGCGCGAAAACUUUACAAUGCGGGAAACCGUGAUAAGGGAAUCUCGAGUGCCAGCAUAUAAUGUUGGCUGUCCAGAUGCCUAAAAAGCAUCUGUUAGCAAGGGCCGGGCAAGACCGGUGCCAGCCGCCGCGGUAACACCGGCGGCCCGAGUGGUAACCGUUUUUAUUGGGUCUAAAGGGUCUGUAGCCGGCCAUGUAAGCCCCUUGGGAAAUCUGGCAGCUCAACUGUCAGGCUGCUAGGGGAUACUGCUUGGCUUGGGACCGGGAGAGGUGAGAGGUACCUUGAGGGUAGGGGUGAAAUCUUGUGAUCCUCGGGGGACCACCAGUGGCGAAGGCGUCUCACCAGAACGGGUCCGACGGUAAGGGACGAAAGCUAGGGGCACGAACCGGAUUAGAUACCCCCGUAGUCC
rnacentral:rRNA from 1 species